UACAGAGACCUCAAGCGUUAUCCGGAAUCAUUGGGCGUAAAGCGUACCGAUAGGUGGUUAAGAAAGUCAGAUGUGAAAUCUCCGAGCUCAACUCGGAAUCUGUCAUUUGAAACUUCUUGACUAGAGGGGCAAAGAGGAAGCUGGAACGAACGGUGUAGUAGUGAAAUGCGUUGAUAUCGUUCGGAACACCAAUAGCGAAGGCAGGCUUCUGGGUGCCACCUGACACUGCUAGGACGAAAGCGUGGGGAGCGAAUGGG
rnacentral:rRNA from 1 species